GACGAACGCUGGCGGCGUGCUUAACACAUGCAAGUCGAACGGUGAAGCGCCUUCCUUUUUGGUGGGUGUGGAUGAGUGGCGAACGGGUGAGUAACACGUGAGUAACCUGCCCCCUUCUUCUGGAUAACCGCAUGAAAGUGUGGCUAAUACGGGAUAUUCUGGGUCUGUCGCAUGAUGGGUCUGGGAAAGAUAUUGUUUCGGUGGGGGAUGGGCUCGCGGCCUAUCAGCUUGUUGGUGGGGUGAUGGCCUACCAGGGCGGUGACGGGUAGCCGGCCUGAGAGGGUGGACGGUCACACUGGGACUGAGACACGGCCCAGACUCCUACGGGAGGCAGCAGUGGGGAAUAUUGCACAAUGGGCGCAAGCCUGAUGCAGCGACGCCGCGUGAGGGAUGGAGGCCUUCGGGUUGUGAACCUCUUUCGCCAGUGAAGCAGGCCUGCCUCGUUUGUGGGUGGGUUGACGGUAGCUGGAGAAGAAGCGCCGGCUAACUACGUG
rnacentral:rRNA from 1 species